AUCCUUUUCUGGUUCAUAAGCAUGAUGAUUGGGCUUUCACACUUUUGUGUGAUAUUUGCCUCCCUUAAAUCUUGUUACACAUUUGGCACAUUACCCUUCUGACA
ensembl:snoRNA